AUCCUGGCUCAGGAUGAACGCUGGCGGCGUGCUUAACACAUGCAAGUCGAGCGGAGAUAUGAAAUCGGAGAGCUUCGGCAGGAAGAUUCAUAUUUAGCGGCGGACGGGUGAGUAACGUGUGGGCAACCUGCCCUGUACUGUGGAAUAAUCACUGGAAACGGUGACUAAUACCGCAUGUCAUUGCGAGAGGGCAUCCUCUUGCAAGAAAAGGAUUUAUUCGGUACAGGAUGGGCCCGCAUCUGAUUAGCUAGUUGGUGAGAUAACAGCCCACCAAGGCAACGAUCAGUAGCCGACCUGAGAGGGUGAUCGGCCACAUUGGGACUGAGACACGGCCCAAACUCCUACGGGAGGCAGCAGUGGGGAGUAUUGCACAAUGGGCGAAAGCCCUGAUGCAGCAACGCCGCGUGAAGGAAGAAGGGUUUCGGCUCGUAAACUUCUAUCAACAGGGACGAAAAAAUGACGGUACCUGAAUAAGAAGCCCCGGCUAACUACGUGCCAGCCGCCGC
rnacentral:rRNA from 1 species